rnacentral:rRNA from 1 species
UACGAAGGGGGCUAGCGUUGUUCGGAUUUACUGGGCGUAAAGCGCACGUAGGCGGAUCUUUAAGUCAGAGGUGAAAUCCCAAGGCUCAACCUUGGAACUGCCUUUGAUACUGGGGAUCUUGAGUCCGGGAGAGGUGAGUGGAACUGCGAGUGUAGAGGUGAAAUUCGUAGAUAUUCGGAAGAACACCAGUGGCGAAGGCGGCUCACUGGCCCGGUACUGACGCUGAUGUGCGAAAGCGUGGGGAGCAAACAGG